rnacentral:rRNA from 1 species
CCUACGGGAGGCAGCAGUGAGGAAUAUUGGUCAAUGGGCGGAAGCCUGAACCAGCCAAGUAGCGUGCGGGCUGAAGGCCCUACGGGUCGUAAACCGCUUUUGCACGGGGAUAACACCCUCCACUUGUGGAGGUCUGCAGGUACCGUGCGAAUAAGGGCCGGCUAAUUCCGUGCCAGCAGCCGCGGUAAUACGGAAGGCCCGAGCGUUAUCCGGAUUCAUUGGGCUAAAAGGGAGCGUAGGCGGGCGUUCAAGUCAGCUGUAAAAUCGCGCGGCUCAACCGCGCCCCGCAGUUGAAACUGGACGACUUGAGUUCACAACAGGCAGGCGGAAUUCGUGGUGUAGCGGUGAAAUGCAUAGAUAUCACGAGGAACCCCGAUUGCGAAGGCAGCCUGCCGGGGUGCGACUGACGCUGAGGCUCGAAGGUGCGGGUAUCAAGCAGGAUUAGAUACCCCUGUAGUC